CUGAUCCCCAGUGCUUGGCAAAUACCAGAGCUGACAUAACUGGGCACUUUGUUCUGGCUGUAUUCUCUCCUCCCAGGAGCAGUGAACAAGGCUGCUGUCAAACACAGGUAGGGUGGAACCCCAGAUUUGGGGCUUUAUGUCCACACAGCCGUGACUAAGGCAUAGCUCCCUCCUGGAGACUGAGCACUAUAAAGGAAUGGAGAAGAAAAGAGGGACUCAAACUUGUACAGGGGAGACCAGUGAAAACUUAAAAAGGAGGAAAGAGUUGAGAAAGUUCCAAAAAGGCUCUAGAUGACAUCUGGUGCUUUUCUGAGCUGAGACAGAAAUGAAAUGAAUGAUACCACCAAACAUGUUUCAUUCCACAGACGCAAAAUGGUAACGUUCACUAGAUACUGGGAGGUUGCUCUGACAAAUGAAGUGCAGUCUGCCACUCCUCUUAGAGCCUGACUCCCUCUCAGGAUAGGGCUGCAAACCUCAUUUUUUCUGACCAAAAGUGCUAAAUAACACUUGUCAAAGUACUAGACCCCAAUUCAGCAGUUUCACUGGGGAUGGUUAUAUUCUGACAUUCAAAGUACAUUCAGGAAUUUGAAGCAGCAUCUGUUCCUGUUUCCAAAACUUUGAAGAAAUAUCAGUGUAUUUCUUCAAAGCAGCCAACUACAAUUACUGUAUUUGCAAAAGGAGCAGUGCUGGUGUAUGUAAGAGUUAUGUGAGCAGUUCUAAUUUGGGACAUUCUGAAAUCAGAAUCAGGAUUCUAAAUCAGAAGAUUCAGAGCUCUUGAAACAGGAGACUCUUCCUACUAAUGGGGAAGGCUUCAGCACACCUUAGUGCUGCACCUGCUCAGAAGAGGACCUGUGCAAAAGCCUGGCUUGCAUAGGGAUCCUGUGAUCAGUAUUUGGGAUACCUGCAUGCGGUUAAUAUACUCGCAUUACUUAGGACUGCUGCCUGGGGUGGUUCAGCAGCAAAACCCACCAGUUUUCGUUAAGUUCUUACAAAGUUUAUUCUUUCAGUAAUUCCCCCCUCCCAUUCAUUUUUAAAGAAAUCAUUCACUUUAUUAAUUUGUUUCUUACUGUUCUCCAAGAGGAUCUCCAGCAAAACGCCAACCCCAGCAGUGUGACACUUACACAGACAGGGGUGCGAAGUGCAUUGCAUUGACUAAAUGUUGCUCCUAGAUGCAGCUAUUUUGUGGUUCAAAAAGUCCCUGGUAGUUUGACUGUGAUUACAAAUGCAGUGCACUCUCAAAGCACAUAACAAGAAGAUCACUGACAGACAGCAAGAGUUCCUUCAAGGAAAGGAGCCUCUGUCAUUUCAAAAGCAUAAUAUUCUCUUAAGAAUGAUAAGGAAAGAUAGGAUCCACGAGAAUACACAGGAGAUAUGAUGUUUCAUUAAAUGUAGAUUACAGUGAUCUUUGUCACUUGCAUUUAAAAAGCAAAGCAGCACAUAGUAAUUUAAUAAAGAUAGUGUGAAAUUC